AGGGGAUAACACUUGGAAACAGGUGCUAAUACCGUAUAACAACCAAACCACCUGGUUUUGGUUUAAAAGAUGGCUUCGGCUAUCACUUUAGGAUGGACCCGCGGCGUAUUAGCUUGUUGGUAAGGUAACGGCCUACCAAGGCAAUGAUACGUAGCCGACCUGAGAGGGUAGUCGGCCACAUUGGGACUGAGACACGGCCCAAACUCCUACGGGAGGCAGCAGUAGGGAAUCUUCCACAAUGGACGAAAGUCUGAUGGAGCAACGCCGCGUGAGUGAUGAAGGGUUUCGGCUCGUAAAACUCUGUUGUUGGAGAAGAACAGGUGUGAGAGUAACUGUUCACAUCUUGACGGUAUCCAACCAGAAAGCCACGGCUAACUACGUGCCAGCAGCCGCGGUAAUACGUAGGUGGCAAGCGUUGUCCGGAUUUAUUGGGCGUAAAGCGAGCGCAGGCGGUUUCUUAGGUCUGAUGUGAAAGCCUUCGGCUUAACCGGAGAAGUGCAUCGGAAACCAGGAGACUUGAGUGCAGAAGAGGACAGUGGAACUCCAUGUGUAGCGGUGAAAUGCGUAGAUAUAUGGAAGAACACCAGUGGCGAAGGCGGCUGUCUGGUCUGUAACUGACGCUGAGGCUCGAAAGCAUGGGUAGCGAACAGGAUUAGAUACCCUGGUAGUCCAUG
rnacentral:rRNA from 1 species